AUAACGUUCUAUUGGACAUUCCUUCAUUUUAGAACAAGAAUUGUGACUGAAGGGGAAUUCCAGAUUGGUGUAGUCAUAGCUGUACUGCUUGUAUUAUUAUCCUGUCAUAGUAAUGGUUUGUAUCUGGCACUAAGCAGUAGUGAACUAUGAAUGGGUGUGGUGCCUCUCAGCUUGGUUUCAGUUAAGGGAAAAUGAAACUUAAAUCCUCACCAUCACAAUAUCAUCAUCAACAACAUUAACUGAGGCAGCAGAGACAGACGGGACAAAGUAACAGACACCCUCUUCAUUGAGUUGAAUUGAGAUCAGGAAUGACAACAGAGGAAAAGUACAACAUUAUGUCUUCAGCUGCUGAUAUGCCAGAUUGUGGGCCGAUGGUGGUUAUUGUUGGAUUCCUGGCGUUAAUCAUUGGAAUCGUUGCUGGAGUGAAACUGAAGGAGGCCAUAGACCAGUUCAUUCAACAACAUCAAUGGAAGGUCAUUGCCUUGCUCACUGUUUUUGUUGUUGUUUGUAUCGUGGUGGUUCUGAACUUGAAGAAACAGGAAGUAUAGAGGGACAUUAAUCCCAUUGAGAACUUGUGGUCAAUCCUCAAGAGGCGGGUGGACAAACAAAAACCCACAAAUUCUGACAAACUCCAAGCAUUGAUUAUGCAAGAAUGGGCUGCCAGUCAGGAUGUGGCCCAGAAGUUAAUUGACAGCAUGCCAGGGCAGAUUGCAGAGGUCUUGAAAAAGAAGGGUCAACACUGCAAAUAUUGAUUCUUUGCAUCAACUUCAUGUAAUUGUCAAUAAAAGCCUUUGACACUUA